rnacentral:rRNA from 1 species
AACGGCUUCAGUAACACGUAGAUAAUUUGCCCUUAGGUGGAGGAUACCCUCGGGAAACUGAGAAUAAUACUCCAUAGAUUUAGAAUGCUGGAAUGCUUUUAAAUUGAAAGAUUUAUCGCCUAAGGAUAAGUCUGCGGACUAUCAGGUUGUAGUCAGGGCUAAAGACCUGGCUAGCCUACGACGGAUACGGGUUGUGAGAGCAAUAACCCGGAGAUGAUAUCUGAGACACGAUAUCAGGCCCUACGGGGCGCAGCAGGCGCGAAAACUUCGCACUGCGCGAAAGCGCGACGAGGGGAUCCCAAGUGUAUGCACGUAAGUGUAUACUGUUUCUCUGUCUAAAAAGCAGAGAGAGUAAGAGCUGGGUAAGACGGGUGCCAGCCGCCGCGGUAAUACCUGCAGCUCAAGUGGUGAUCGUUAUUAUUGGGCCUAAAACGUCCGUAGCCGGUCUCGUAAAUGCCUGGGUAAAUCGUAUGGCUUAACCAUACGAAUUCCGGGUAGACUGUUCAACUUGGGACCGGGAGAGGCUAAGGUACUCCUGGGGUAGAGGUGAAAUUCUGUAAUCCUAGGGGGACCACC